rnacentral:rRNA from 1 species
GUGGGGAAUAUUCCGCAAUGGACGAAAGUCUGACGGAGCAACGCCGCGUGAGUGAAGAAGGUUUUCGGAUCGUAAAGCUCUUUCGUUAGGGACGAACGUGCUCUUUGUGAAUAAUGAGGAGUAAUGACGGUACCUAAAUAAGAAGCCACGGCUAACUACGUGCCAGCAGCCGCGGUAAUACGUAGGUGGCAAGCGUUGUCCGGAAUUAUUGGGCGUAAAGCGCGCGCAGGCGGGAUAUCAAGUCUGUCUUAAAAGUGCGAGGCUCAACCUCGUGAGGGGACAGAAACUGGUAUUCUUGAGUGUCGGAGAGGAAAGUGGAAUUCCAAGUGUAGCGGUGAAAUGCGUAGAGAUUUGGAAGAACACCAGUGGCGAAGGCGACUUUCUGGACGAUGUCUGACGCUGAGGCGCGAAAGCUAGGGGAGCGAACGGGAUUAGAUACCCUGGUAGUCC